rnacentral:SRP_RNA from 2 species
GCCAGGUGUCGUGGUGGGCGCCUGUAAUCCCAGCUACUCAGGAGGCUGAGGCAGGAGAAUUGCUUGAGCCCGGGAGGCGGAAGUUGCAACGAGCCGAGAUCGCACCACCGCACUCCAGCCUGGGCAACAGAGCAAGACUCUGCCUCAA